rnacentral:SRP_RNA from 1 species
GGCCGGACCUCGGGCGGCGUCACACCGUGAACCUGGUCAGAUCCGGAAGGAAGCAGCCAUAAGCGGUCCCUGACGGGUGUCCGGGGUCCGACCGAG